AUGUUAGCCUGUCAGCCACUACUAAGUUUAUAGGUGUCAGCGCUGCUAGCCCGACCCAGAUCAACUUUGUACAAAUGCCCCAUGGAGGUCGGGGGGGCUGGGAUCCCUCAUGGGGGCUGGGGUCCCUGCCAGACCCAGCCUUUACCCAGGAUCCCAAGCCCAGGCCUCUGCUUUCAGUACUCUGGGCCCAACAUCCGCCCACUCCCUGCCAGCCCAGAGUUCACGCUGUGGGGUGGGAUUGGAGCCUGGAGGAUCGAGUUUCAUGCCCUACAGCUGCCCAUAUUAUUAGCUCUGGAGCGGGGCAGCCCGGGCUGUAACACAAUUCAAGGAACUGUAGACUUGGCUGAGUUUCCAGCCCAGCAGCUGGGAGGGACGCAGGCAGUGGGGAGCAGGGGCCUCUGACUCCUCCCAACCCCCAGUGCCUGUUUUGAGAGCUAGAGAAGACUGCAAGACGACUGAGUCCCUCCACAUGCCGCUGAUGUCAGUGUGGGCACUGGGGACUCUCAAGGCCCUUGGGCAACCCCAGCCAGUUGCCCAGCUGCUGGCCUCCUCCCAUACCUGUUUGUGCAAUCCGGGCCGCCUCCUCCUACCACUGCCCCUGGACAGAAGGUGAUGGGAAAUGGGUGACCCUACUCCUCAGCCAGGAAAAGGACACCCCAGACCCCCAGCAGGAGAAGGAAAUUUCCCCUCCUCUCCACCUCCCUCGUCAACUCCUGCCUCCUCUUUCUGUGGCUGGUGUCUGCCGGUGCCAGCACACCCCAGAGUAAGCCAGGGAAAACCUGGGCCUGGGCUAGGGCCCCAGACUAUGGCUCCGGGAAAGGACUCGGGCUCCUGGCCGGGUGCACCCACAGCGGGGAUCAAGGCCAGUCUCCUAAGACCCCUGAGCCCCUUCCUUGUCUGCCAGUGGGAGUCACACUGUCCCGCAGGCUCUUGGGGACUAAGAGAAGUAUGUUGAUGUCCUUCACAUGCCUGGAAGUGCCCACAGAGUUAGCUGUUGCAUAGAAGGUUUUGGCCCUGUCCCUUCCCUGAGAAGGGACAACAGACUUGUGGCCCCAGUGCACUCUGCAUGGCAGACCUCCCUGUCAGCAGAAACCAGUGAUGAAGAAUUGGAAGAUUUCAGCACCUAAUGGACUGUACCAGAACAUGCUGGGCCUGGGGUCUAAUUACCGGGCUGCCUGGAGAAGGCAAGGACAACAUGCUUGUCCUGAAGGCAUAAAUCACAGCGUUAGAGUGGCAGGCUUCGAAGACAACUUCUCAGACUGUGUCCGCAGAGCCCUGGGCCCUCAGGGGCGUGGGUGAGGGAGGGGGGCGCCCGGGGAUCCAGCCACCCGUCUCAGUUACCUGCUGUUGUCUGGUCUCUUUAGUGCAGGUGGAAUUGUGACUGAAGAAGGGGUUCCACGGCUAAAGUAAAUAUUUAAAAACCAGACACCUAAUCUAACUCCAUGAUGUUACCAUUGAGGAAAUCAAGGCCCAGGAAAGAGAAGUAACUUGUCAAGGUUGCCCAGCGGUGUCGGAGCUGCUGCCUGGGACACAGACCAGCCCCACCCCAACCCCGGGCUGUGGAAAAAGAGCCAACACCGGGCAAUGAGGACAAAGGAUGGGGCAGGCCAUUCUGAGGUGGUCCUGGGAAGGCAACCCCAGCACGGGAACCAGGCCUGCCCGGGGCCCACCGAGGCUGCCUCUACCUGUCUGGGCUUGAGGACUCAUCUCCCUGGUCAGCAGGGUAGAUUGAAGACCCACUGUGUGCUUGAGCCACACCCUGGAAGACAAGGAAACCAUGCUCAUGAUCGUCCCUGGCCUGGGGUACUCAACAUGGUAAGAGGCCACUCAGGUAAGAGCAGAGCACCCAGGGCAAAAGCAAGAUGCAGGCAGGGGGUGUGCAGCGGAUGAGUGGGAGUCCCAAAGAUCUGGUUUCAAAUCCUGGAACUCCCCCUUUCUGGCCAUGUGACCAGAGACAAGCUAUUUGACCUCUCCUGCCUCUGCUUCUGUCUAUGUAAUGGAUGCCAUGUGAGGCCUUUAUCAUAUGUCAAAUACAAUAAUGCAUAUAAAGUCCCCAGGCAGGCCAGGCGCGGUGGCUCAUGCCUGUAAUCCCAGAACUUUGGGAGGCC